GGCAGUUUGGCCGAGGGGAUUAAGGCAUCAGAUCAAAUGAUUUAAUCUGGUUUGCGGAGGUUCGAAUCCUUCAUCUGCCA
rnacentral:tRNA from 1 species